CCCCUCUUGUCGGAGUGCCGAGUAUGUAAAAACAUACCGGCUGAGACCGUUAAUUCGGGAUCCGCGGAACCUGAUCGGGUUAAUACCUGCGAAGGGAACAAGAGUAAUCAUUCA
rnacentral:ncRNA from 2 species